UACGUAGGGUGCGAGCGUUGUCCGGAAUUAUUGGGCGUAAAGGGCUCGUAGGCGGUUUGUCACGUCAGGAGUGAAAACUCGGGGCUUAACCCCGAGCCUGCUUCUGAUACGGGCAGACUAGAGGUAUGCAGGGGAGAACGGAAUUCCUGGUGUAGCGGUGAAAUGCGCAGAGUAUCAGGAGGAACACCGGUGGCGAAGGCGGUUCUCUGGGCAUUACCUGACGCUGAGGAGCGAAAGUGUGGGGAGCGAACAGG
rnacentral:rRNA from 1 species